rnacentral:rRNA from 1 species
GAUGAACGCUGGCGGCGUGCCUAAUACAUGCAAGUCGAGCGAACAGACCAGGACCUUGCUCCUCUCACGUUAGCGGAACACGGGUGAGUAACACGUGGGUAACCUACCUCACUGACUGAGAUAACUUCGGGAAUCCGGCUCUUAUAGCGGAUAAUAUAUUGAACCACGUGGUUCAAUAGAGAAAGACGGGUUUGGGGUGACUUAUCGGCGUAUCCGCGGCGCAUUAGCUAGUUGGUCAGGUAACGGCUUACCAAGGCAACGAGGCGUAGCCGACCGGAGAGGGGGAUCGGCCACACUGGAACUGAGAGACGGUCCAGACUCCUACGGGAGGCAGCAGUAGGGAAUGUGGCGGAAGGGGCGAAAGCCUGACGGAGCAACGCCGCGUGAGUGAUGAAGGUCUUCGGAUCGUAAAACUCUGUUAUUAGGUAAGAACAAAUGUGUAAGUACCUAUGCACGUCUUGACGGUACCUAAUCAGAAAGCCACGGCUAACUACGUG